UAGAAAGUGGUGUAGUGGGAGCACCUAGAGUUUUGAUCUCUUGAGCAUGGGUUCGAGCCCCUUCUUUCUAA
rnacentral:tRNA from 1 species